ensembl:piRNA 21ur-9254 ncRNA
UUGGAGAGUGGAUCUAAUUUU